AAGUUCCGACUGCACGAAUGGCGUAAUGAUGGCCAGGCUGUCUCACCCGGGACUUCAGUGAAAUUGAACUCGCUGUGAAGAUGCAGUGUACCCGCGGCAAGACGGAAAGACCCCGUGAACCUUUACUAUAGCUUGACACUGAACACUGGUCCUUGAUGUGCAGGAUAGGUGGGAGGCUUUGAAGUGUGGACGCCAGUCUGCAUGGAGCCGUCCUUGAAAUACCACCCUUUAAUGGCUGGUGUUCUAACGUAGACCCGUGAACCGGGUUGCGGACAGUGUCUGGUGGGUAGUUUGACUGGGGCGGUCUCCUCCUAAAGCGUAACGGAGGAGCACGAAGGUUGGCUAAUCCUGGUCGGACAUCAGGAGGUUAGUGCAAUGGCAUAAGCCAGCUUGACUGCGAGCGUGACGGCGCGAGCAGGUGCGAAAGCAGGUCAUAGUGAUCCGGUGGUUCUGAAUGGAAGGGCCAUCGCUCAACGGAUAAAAGGUACUCCGGGGAUAACAGGCUGAUACCGCCCAAGAGUUCAUAUCGACGGCGGUGUUUGGCACCUCGAUGUCGGCUCAUCACAUCCUGGGGCUGAAGUAGGUCCCAAGGGUAUGGCUGUUCGCCAUUUAAAGUGGUACGCGAGCUGGGUUUAGAACGUCGUGAGACAGUUCGGUCCCUAUCUGCCGUGGGCGCUGGAGAACUGAGGGGGGCUGCUCCUAGUACGAGAGGACCGGAGUGGACGCAUCACUGGUGUUCGGGUUGUCAUGCCAAUGGCACUGCCCGGCAGCUAAAUGCGGAAGAGAUAAGUGCUGAAAGCAUCUAAGCACGAAACUUGCCCCGAGAUGAGUUCUCCCUGAGACUACAAGUCUCCUGAAGGAACGUUGAAGACGACGACGUUGAUAGGCCGGGUGUGUAAGCGCAGCGAUGCGUUGAGCUAACCGGUACUAAUGAACCGUGAGGCUUAACCUUACAACGCCGAAG
rnacentral:rRNA from 1 species